GACGAACGCUGGCGGCGCGCCUAACACAUGCAAGUCGAACGAGCGAGAGGGAGCUUGCUUCCUCAAUCGAGUGGCGAACGGGUGAGUAACGCGUGAGGAACCUGCCUCAAAGAGGGGGACAACAGUUGGAAACGACUGCUAAUACCGCAUAAGCCCACGACCCGGCAUCGGGUUGAGGGAAAAGGAGCAAUCCGCUUUGAGAUGGCCUCGCGUCCGAUUAGCUAGUUGGUGAGGUAAUGGCCCACCAAGGCAACGAUCGGUAGCCGGACUGAGAGGUUGAACGGCCACAUUGGGACUGAGACACGGCCCAGAUUCCUACGGGAGGCAGCAGUGGGGAAUAUUGCACAAUGGGGGAAACCCUGAUGCAGCGACGCCGCGUGGAGGAAGAAGGUCUUCGGAUUGUAAACUCCUGUUGUUGAGGAAGAUAAUGACGGUAC
rnacentral:rRNA from 1 species